CACGAAGGAAGUUCUGUUAAGCCCGUUCACGUCCUGUGAACAACACAGAACGACCUGCAUCCUGCAGG
rfam:Sediminibacillus halophilus strain CGMCC 1.6199 genome assembly, contig: Ga0079860_102